rnacentral:rRNA from 1 species
UACGUAGGGUGCGAGCGUUGUCCGGAAUUAUUGGGCGUAAAGAGCUUGUAGGCGGUUUGUCGCGUCUGCUGUGAAAAUCCGGGGCUCAACCCCGGACUUGCAGUGGGUACGGGCAGACUAGAGUGUGGUAGGGGAGACUGGAAUUCCUGGUGUAGCGGUGGAAUGCGCAGAUAGUCAGGAGGAACACCGAUGGCGAAGGCAGGUCUCUGGGCCACUACUGACGCUGAGAAGCGAAAGCAUGGGGAGCGAACAGG